rnacentral:lncRNA from 1 species
AAAAGAUAUAAAUAACCAGGUACAGUGAGGUAAAAAGUAACCAAUCAGAUUCAAUCCAAACAAAACUACCCCUAAGACAUAUUAUAAUCAAACCACCAAAAAUUGAAGGGAAGCUUCUCUGUAUUGGUGGAAGGUAGGUAGGGCUUUUCUAGCCCCUACUUCCACUCUAUCCCCUGAGUUCCACCUGCACUGACUCGAGGAAGAGUAAGCAUCUAGAGCUAGUGAGAAUGGGAGGAACUUACAAAGUCAAGAGAGAAGCCUAUUGUUCCUUGCUCACCCACAGAUUACGUACUAUUACUCAAGGCUUGCUGUAUUUAUUAUAGAAGAGAAAAUCUUCUUGUAUUAUAUAUCAGCUGAGUUAUUGCUUAUCUGAGAAUCACCAGAAGUUUCCACCCGAGACAGGAUAAGAGAAUAGAGCCAACAUGUUGGGAUUUCCAGAGCAAUCAAGAGAAAAGAAAAUCUAUUGUGUUAUUAUUGCCCCUGAGAAAUCACACUUUUGUCUUUCCUAGGAAGCUGAUGCUUACAACAAUGGAGAUUAGCAAUACCUGGACAGAGUUGAGCUUCAAAGGAUACUGAGAAAUGGCUAAAGCAGAUGAUAAAGAAAAAAUGAGGAAAUGCUGUGAAGAACUAAUAGAACGUUUCAGAAGCAGAACAAGUCGAGAGCAGUGAUGACCCUUUUCUUCCUGCUAGUACCUCCUGUCUGUCUGGCUGAACUCACCAUCAGAUGAUGUCUUGAACCUCACCUAGAUGGGCUGGUGGUGUGUGGCCAGGUUAAGAGCACCAACAGGAGUAAGAAAGUGACCUGCCUGGUUUUACCGUGUGCACUAGGGGAGGGGUUGAAAGCUUUCGGUUGAUACAUCACCUCUGGGAGUUGAAGAAGAAUGCAAUUAAGAGAGCUAAAGAAGUCAGUAGGUAUCUCUCCUGAACAAUUCUGGUUUUCUUCUAAUAGCUUUUACAAUUUUUACCUCUGUUAUGAAAUGCAAACUUUUAACCAAUAUUAGUAAUAGUAAUCUCAAAUCUCAUCAUCAUCAAAAUCUUAUUUAUGAAAUGUAGGAGUUAGUUCAUAUACAGCCUUAGCCUUUUCCACAUUAUAAAAUAUAUUCCAUAUAUAUGUGUGAUCUUCAUUUAAUAUUCAAGUAAAUGUUGUAAGAUAUUGUUAUUUUUAUUCUAACAUUUCACAGGUAUAGAAUCUGAAACUCAGAGGUCAACUGAUGUGUCAAAGAUACCUCCACAAAUCAGUACCUUGAUUAAAACUAAAAUUGGAGUCAUCUUCAUAUCUUCAUCUUUCUCCCUCUUCAUUAGGACCGAUUGUAGUCUGUUUCCCUCUCACUCACUUGCAAUCUUUAUUGCUUUAGUGUUGCAUUUGAUUUUUAUCUUUGUUUUUGUUUUAAAUACUGUCAUUAAAGUCAUAGAAAAAUCUAAAGUAAAACUGGUUGAAUAAAAAUUUUAAAAUCGACUCUAAUGUAAUAAACCAGACAAAAAUGAUACUUUACAUGUUAUAUCUUCCCUUUAAACUACAAAUAUUCAUUGAGUGUAUACCCUGUAUUAGGCUGUUGGAAUAAAACAGGGAAGAAGACAGAAGAAACUGCACCGCCAUCUUAGAUCUUGCAGCCAAAUUCCUCUGAACUUUUCUCUAAAGACGUGCUCUGGAAAAAUGUUGAUCAUUUUCCUACAUCAUGGAGGUCUUUUCAUGACCACCUUUGUCUAGACAAUGUCCUGUUUUUAGGUGCACGUUUGAGGGCUGGAGUCUCUGACCCACAGUGCUGCAGCCUGCACGUGGUUUGUCCUGACUUCUUUGCUACUUCACUUUUCGUAAGGCUCUGAGAGUGCAGGCCCUUGUGGGUGGACACUGCAGGGUGAGAGGAAGAAGUAAACUACUUUUUUCCGUUUCUGAUGGGGGUGUGGGUCAGCAGCUAUAAGCAACAGGGACCAUGGGGGGCCUCAGACUUCAGCACCUGAGAGGCAGUUUCAGUCGUAUUGGGGAGAUGCAGGCAUCUGGGUUGCUGCACAUCACCAGGGCAGGGUUCUCUCAGCAGCCCUGGAGUGCAGAGUUCCCAUCAGCUCAGCAGUGAGGGGCACAUGGGGCUCCAG